UACGUAGGGUGCAAGCGUUAAUCGGAAUUACUGGGCGUAAAGCGUGCGCAGGCGGUUGUGCAAGACAGAUGUGAAAUCCCCGGGCUUAACCUGGGAACUGCAUUUGUGACUGCACGGCUAGAGUGUGUCAGAGGGGGGUAGAAUUCCACGUGUAGCAGUGAAAUGCGUAGAGAUGUGGAGGAAUACCGAUGGCGAGGGCAGCCCCCUGGGAUAACACUGACGCUCAUGCACGAAAGCGUGGGGAGCAAACAGG
rnacentral:rRNA from 1 species